AAAAAUUCUUUGAUAAAGAGAGUAGUUUAUGAGGAUAUGUCAAGCGAGUUAGGGAUGGUGGGAGCCUAAUACAUGGAACAUGAAUGAAGCGCACUUUGGAGAAACUUUUUGAAAUAGCAGUAGAAAAGAUCGGGGAGUCACCUCGUUAACAAUUGAAAGUGGUCACAUAUUGUGGCAACCAGAGUGGUACCACGGGAUCUAUGCUCUCGUCUCUUGU
rnacentral:ncRNA from 1 species